rfam:Clostridium formicaceticum strain ATCC 27076, complete genome.
CUCUUAUAAAGAGAGGUGGAGGGACUGGCCCUAUGAAGCCCGGCAACCAGCAUAUAAAGUGCAUGGUGCUAAUUCCUGUAGGUAAUGUUGUGCCUAAGAGAUGAGAG